AUUGAACGCUGGCGGCAUGCCUUACACAUGCAAGUCGAACGGUAACAGGUCUUCGGAUGCUGACGAGUGGCGAACGGGUGAGUAAUACAUCGGAACGUGCCUAGUAGUGGGGGAUAACUACUCGAAAGAGUGGCUAACACCGCAUGCGAUCUACGGAUGAAAGCAGGGGAUCGCAAGACCUUGUGCUACUAGAGCGGCCGAUGGCAGAUUAGGUAGUUGGUGGGAUAAAAGUUUACCAAGCCGACGAUCUGUAGCUGGUCUGAGAGGACGAUCAGCCACACUGGGACUGAGGAGCGGCCCAGACUCCUACGGGAGGCAGCAGUGGGGAAUUUUGGACAAUUGGCGAAAGCCUGAUCCAGCAAUGCCGCGUGCAGGAUGAAGGCCUUCGGGUUGUAAACUGCUUUUGUACGGAACGAAAAGCCCCGGGUUAAUACCCUGGGGUCAUGACGGUACCGUAAGAAUAAGCACCGGCUAACUACGUGCCAGCAGCCGCCGUAA
rnacentral:rRNA from 1 species